rnacentral:rRNA from 1 species
AUUCCUACGGGAGGCAGCAGUGAGGAAUUUUCCGCAAUGAGCGAAAGCUUGACGGAGCAAUACCGCGUGGAGGACGAAGGCUCAUGGGUCGUAAACUCCUUUUCUUAGGAAAGAAUUUUGACGGUACCUAAGGAAUAAGCAUCGGCUAAUUCCGUGCCAGCAGCCGCGGUAAGACGGGAGAUGCAGGCGUUAUUCGGAUUUAUUGGGCGUAAAGGGUUUGUAGGUUGUUGGUUAAGUCUAUGGUCAAAUUCUGAAGCUCAACUUCGGGCCGGCACUAGAAACUAAUCAACUUGAGUACGUUAGAGGCAGGGGGAAUUCCCAGUGUAGCGGUGAAAUGCGUAGAUAUUGGGAGGAACAUCAAUGGCGAAGGCACCCUGCUAGGCCGAUACUGACACUGAAAAACGAAAGCUAGGGGAGCAAAUGGGAUUAGAUACCCCAGUAGUCCUAGCUGUAAACGAUGGGGACUAAACUUUGGUUUUAAAAAUCAGAGUUAAAGCUAACGCGUUAAGUCCCCCGCCUGGGGAGUACGCCCGCAAGAGUGAAACUCAAAGGAAUUGACGGAAU